rnacentral:rRNA from 1 species
UACGGAGGGUGCGAGCGUUGUCCGGAAUCAUUGGGCGUAAAGGGCGCGUAGGUGGCCCGGUCAGUUCGUGGUGAAAGCGCGGGGCUCAACCCUGCGUCGGCCAUGAAUACUGCCGCGGCUGGAGCACUGUAGAGGCAGGCGGAAUUCCAGGUGUAGCGGUGAAAUGCGUAGAUAUCUGGAGGAACACCGGUGGCGAAGGCGGCAUCCUGGACCAACACUGACGCUGAGGAGCGAAAGCCAGGGGAGCAAACGGG